rnacentral:lncRNA from 1 species
AAAUAAUCCUAGCAGAAAAACAAUCAGCAAUGGGGAAUGAUCUGCUUUACGCUUUCAUCCACCCAUCCAUUCAUGCACUCAUUCAUUGAUUCAUACACUCAUUCAUUGAUUCAUGCACUCAUUCAUUGAUUCAUUCAUUGAUUCAGUCCUUUAAACCUUUUGGUCUCUUCCGCAUUUCUCCUUUAAGUAGACCUCCCUGUCACGUGUGCAAGUUGUUCCGCUUCGGUCUUUCAGAGCUGCAUGCUCAUGCGAAAGGACUGCGAUCAUGGAGGCUCCGUACCAUUUGAGAAGUUAUCACUGAUGACUUCAGGGCAUGAUGAACCUAUAAGGCUGAAAAUGGAGCAGGGGAUUUCAAAGGAGGUAAAUCAAACCCAUGGAGUGAGCAGAAGGUGGCCACCUUAGGGCGGGACUUCUUACCGUCUGGCAUCAAGGCAAUGACUGACGUGCAUAUCGCAUUGAAAGGUAAUGAAGUUUCUUGGCUUUCUUCGUAUGAGCUGGCCCCUUUUUAGCCCAUUUAAGACUUUGUGUCCUAAAUGACUUACACAGGGGGGUAGAGGAAGUCAUUGAAGUCUUUCAAAAACCUAAAGCGAAGGCCAACACCUUGCUUUGGAUCCUGUCGGAAGAUACACAACUUCUUUAAAAUGUUAAGUGAUGGAUUUUCUGAUUUUGUUUGUCAGGAAAUGGUAAGUCAUUGUUAGUUUGUCAAGUGCAGCUGUGUUGAGACCCUCUCUGAAACCUGGGACGGGGGCCUUGCCUCUGGAUCUGUUGGAAGGUACACUUAACCAGACCAUUGAGGUGCUUUUGCAUGCACCCUUAGGUCUGGCGUUUUGUAUUGGAUGUUAGAUGUCAGUCUUCUCAUCCUCGGCUUCAUUUUUCUUCCCCUGUUUAGAACCCAUGGAGUGAGCAGAAGGCGGCCAUCUUAAGGCGGGACUUCUGACCGUCUGGCAUCAAGGCAAUGGCCUGAUGUGCAAAUCGCAUGGAAGGUAAUGAAGUUUCUUGGCUUUCUUCAUAUGAGCAGGCCCCUUUUUAGCCCAUUUAAGACUUUGUGUCCUAAAUGACUUACACAGGGGGGUAGAGGAAGUCAUUGAAGUCUUUCAUAAACCUAAAGCGAAGGCCAACACCUUGCUUUGGAUCCUGUCGGAAGAUACACAACUUCUUUAAAAUGUUUAGUGAUGGAUUUUCAGAUGUUUGUCAGGAAAUUGAAAAUUGUUGGCUUGUCAAGGGCCUCGUCUAAAAGUUUUUAUGGUGCGCAGGUCAAUAGAGCUGCGGCCUCGCUCUCCGUGCCCUGGUGGAGACUGGUACCCAGCAAAGAAUAAAGGUAAUAUAACUACUCGUGCA